rnacentral:rRNA from 1 species
GGGGAUAAACACAGACUUCGAAGCUGGAGUGAAGUCGAUCCUGGGGUAGGGGAGCGUUGUAUGUAGGUUGAAGGUGUACCGUAAGGAGCGCUGGACAGCAUACAAGUGAGAAUGCCG